rnacentral:rRNA from 1 species
GACGAACGCUGGCGGCGUGCUUAACACAUGCAAGUCGAACGGAAAGGCCCUGCUUUUGUGGGGUGCUCGAGUGGCGAACGGGUGAGUAACACGUGAGUAACCUGCCCUUGACUUUGGGAUAACUUCAGGAAACUGGGGCUAAUACCGGAUAGGAGCUCCUGCUGCAUGGUGGGGGUUGGAAAGUUUCGGCGGUUGGGGAUGGACUCGCGGCUUAUCAGCUUGUUGGUGGGGUAGUGGCUUACCAAGGCUUUGACGGGUAGCCGGCCUGAGAGGGUGACCGGCCACAUUGGGACUAAGGUAGGGCCCAGACUCCUACGGGAGGCAGCGGUGGGGAAUAUUGCACAAUGGGCGGAAGCCUGAUGCAGCAACGCCGCGUGCGGAAUGACUGCCUUCGGGUUGUAAACCGCUUUCGCCUGUGACGAAGCGUGAGUGACGGUAAUGGAUAAAGAAGCACCGGCUAACUACGUG